rnacentral:pre_miRNA from 1 species
CGGGAUUUAGUGGAACAGUUGUUAUAUUAUGCAAAAAUACUGGCCUGCUAAGUCCCAAG